rnacentral:rRNA from 1 species
UACAGAGGUCCCGAGCGUUGUUCGGAUUCACUGGGCGUAAAGGGUGCGUAGGUGGCUUGAAAAGUUUGAUGUGAAAGCUCAGGGCUUAACCCUGAAAUGGCAUUGAAAACUGUCGGGCUGGAGGUUUGGAGGGGGGACUGGAAUUCUUGGUGUAGCAGUGAAAUGCGUAGAUAUCAAGAGGAACACCAGUGGCGAAGGCGAGUCCCUGGACAGCACCUGACACUGAGGCACGAAAGCUAGGGGAGCAAACAGG